rnacentral:tRNA from 1 species
CAUUGGCUCAGGGGCAUAGCGUCUUUCUAGUAAACAGAAGGUCGCUGGUUCGAUUCCAGCAUG